GAAAUGUAAGAUGUAGUUUGUCUGAAGCCCAGCAUUUGUAACUUUCUUUUAACGUUCCUGUCGUGCAUUUUCAAACUUAACGUUUGUGCUAAGGAUUUACUGGGUUCACGAGGUGUUGUGGAAUUCCCGCGUUAACGUUAUUAACUUCAACGUUAGCGCACUAGCAAAUUUUAGCACGCCAUAUCAAAUCUGACCAAACUCUUUUUCUGAUAAAUGUUGGGAUUCGCUCGCCAUGAUUGAAUUAAUUUGACGUUCGUGCCGUCAAAUACUGAAAGAAGUGGUGGACUGGAUGAAGCUGGAUGAUGGACUCUUCUAAUCAGGAUUUCUGGAGCAAGGUGCUGCAGGACUUCCAGCUACUGUUUGGAGAAGAUAUUUCCUCUCAAUUUAUGGAAGUGGGGAAUUUUUCUGAAGCCAGAAAUCAUCAAAGGAUCCAAGAACCUCACCAUGUUGACCAAAGACACCCAUGUUGGACUCUUGAUUCCCAAACACCACUUUUACACCAAAGUCCUUUAGGCAAGUCCCUUAUUUCAACGCAUUUUGGGCCCUUAUCGAGCAUCUAUUUCGGGCAGAACUGCGCGUGUGCAAGGCUUCACAACACCGACCUCGCUCCAGCGGCGAGAUCACAACACAUGAUUGGUACCGUGUAUUCACAUGUCAUCUUUUGGCCAUGGAAGGUGUUGAGAUGUGGAUACACUACCCCAGAGCACUGUAGACAAUCACAUAAUUACCAGUGAGAGCAGGCGCGCUCAACUCCAAAUCUCACAACAAUUUCGGAUGCGAGUCAAAAGGUGACAACUUAGAAUAGAAAAACCGCACUCUCAAGUAUAUUCUCCCCCCCCCCCCCCGUCAUCUACUUCCUGAAUUUUUGGUCAACGAUACCCGGGACCGGUACCCCACCGGGGC